rnacentral:rRNA from 1 species
AACGCGAAGAACCUUACCCAGGCUUGACAUGCAGACGACGUUACUAGAGAUAGUAACUUCCUUCGGGACGUCUGCACAGGUGCUGCAUGGCUGUCGUCAGCUCGUGCCGUGAGGUGUUGGGUUAAGUCCCGCAACGAGCGCAACCCUUAUCAUUAGUUGCCAACACGUAAAGGUGGGAACUCUAAUGAGACUGCCCGGGUUAACCGGGAGGAAGGUGAGGAUGACGUCAAGUCCGCAUGGCCCUUAUGUCUGGGGCUACACACGUGCUACAAUGGUCGGUACAGAAGGCAGCAAAGCCGCGAGGUGGAGCAAAUCCCCAAAGCCGAUCCCAGUUCAGAUUGUAGUCUGCAACUCGACUACAUGAAGACGGAAUUGCUAGUAAUGGCGAGUCAGCAACAUCGCCGUGAAUACGUUCCCGGGCCUUGUACACACCGAGACGUA